AACGAACGCUGGCGGCGUGCCUAACACAUGCAAGUCGAACGUGAUUGAAGAGCUUGCUCUUCAUGAAAGUGGCGCACGGGUGAGUAACGCGUAGAUAAUCUACCUGGUGAUUUGGGAUAACAGUUCGAAAGGACUGCUAAUACCGAAUAAGCCCACGGAGUCUUUGGAUUCUGCGGGAAAAGGGGGGGACUGUAUGGCCUUCCGUCAUCAGAUGAGUCUGCGUACCAUUAGCUAGUUGGUAGGGUAAAGGCCUACCAAGGCGACGAUGGUUAGCUGGUCUGAGAGGAUUAUCAGCCACACUGGAACUGAGACACGGUCCAGACUCCUACGGGAGGCAGCAGUGGGGAAUUUUGCGCAAUGGGGGAAACCCUGACGCAGCAACGCCGCGUGAGUGAUGAAGGCCCUUGGGUCGUAAAGCUCUGACAGAGGGAAAGAAAUGCAGGGGAGCUAAUAUCUCCUUUGCUUGACGGUACCCUCAAAGGAAGCACCGGCUAACUCCGUGCCAGCCGCCGCCGUAAAAC
rnacentral:rRNA from 1 species